rnacentral:lncRNA from 1 species
AUGACCGGGGCCGGAGCGGUGUGGCCUGGACCCAGGAGGUGGCGGUGCUGCUGGGAGACAUGGCCGUGCGGCUGCUGCAGGACGGGGCAGUCACGGUGGAUGGGCACCCGGUGGCCUUGCCCUUCCUGCAGGAGCCGCUGCUGUAUGUGGAGCUGCGAGGACACACUGUGAUCCUGCACGCCCAGCCCGGGCUCCAGGUGCGGCUCCAGGGCGAGUCUGGGUGGGCUGCCUGCUGGGAGCUUCAGUCCUGUUUAGGCCUCUGUAUCUGUAGAGGGGGUGGGGAUGCCAGCUACCUCCUAGCCAAAAAAGGCAAGGAGUGGGGUACAGGGGUGUGAGGGGAGGUGGAUCAGGGUCAGAGAUCUCCCCAGGCAGUCAGAGGAGUUCUGAGUUCUGAGCCCGAUUUCUAAUCUCGGCUCAGCCUCUUAAGCCACCACCAGCCUCCUCUGGGCCACAGAUUUCUCGUCUGUAAAGUGGGGAAUGGGAAGGGUCAGUGGCAGUGGGGAGGAUGUCAGCUGAAGUCUCCUGGGGGGGUGUCUCAGGUUCCUUCCAACUCUCAUGUGGAAGAGUAAUUUGCCCCCUGCCCCCAGCAGGAAACACAACUCGUAAAUUCGUAGAAUAAGGGUGUACACUUCUAAUCCGGACCCUAAUUGUGCUUUGUCCUCUGCAAGGCCCGAAUGCCCAUGAGAAAGUGAAUCCCCGGAAGGGGGUUGCAUUUCACCUGGGGCCCAGUGCAGGGAUGGCAGCAGGAGAAGGUGCCCUCAUGCAGGAGCUGUGGGCAGCUCCUCCUGUCAUCUGUCUUUGCCCAGGGCUGGCACAGAAUGUAUCCACUUGGCCUUGGCCAGGGUGGUGUUUCUUCCAAGGGGAGCCUCCACCUGUCCAUUCUCCUCCCCUACAGCACUGGCCGCACUGAACACAGUGCCUGGGGCCAUGAUGGACCCUGGGCUUCUUAAGGCCCCUGUCCUUCCCUGCUCCCCAGUCUCAGGCCUCUCCACACAGGUGCUGUGGGAUGGGCAGUCCCAGGUGGAGGUGAGCGUACCUGGCUCCUACCAGGGCCGGACUUGUGGGCUCUGUGGGAACUUCAAUGGCUUUGCCCAGGACGAUCUGCAGGGCCCUGAGGGGCUGCUCCUGCCCUCGGAGGCUGCGUUUGGGAAUAGCUGGCAGGUGCAAGAGGGCCGCGGGUAUCCCCCAGGGCUGGAGCUGCCCCCUGUACUGCUGCAGAUGGAGUGGAGCCGGCGGGCCCAGGAGCAGCUCCUGUGGGACUUGGAACUGCUGACUGGUGUGGAGCUGGGCCUCUUCUGGCCACCCCAGGCCCAGUUUUUCGGUCCGAGGGGCCAGGCCCAGCAAGCAUGGAGCCAGUGCUGUCAGCCAGGUGGUAGCACAGGUGGGGACCCUGAGCAGCCGGUGAGUGGGUGAGGGGGCACGGCGGGGACAGAGGUUCUGGGAACACUGGGGCCCUGCUGUGGUGAGGGCAAGCGGAAGGGGCAGGGUUUUAGAGACAGGGCUGGGUUUGAAUCUCCACACUGACCACCCCCGUGGGCUCUGAGUUUACCUUUCCUCAGCUAGAAAAUGCCCACGAGGCCAGGCGUGGUGGCUCACGCCUGUAAUCCCAGCACUUUGGGAGGCCGAGGUGGGCGGAUCACCUGAGGUCGGGAGUUCGAGACCAGCCUGACCAACAUGGAGAAACCCCGUCUCUACUAAAAAUACAAAAAUUAUCCAGGUGUGACAGCAUAUGCCUGUACCUGUAAUCCCAGCUACUCAGGAGGCUGAGGCAGCAGAAUCAGUUGAACCUGGGAGGUGAAGGUUGCAGUGAGCCGAGAUCGCACCAUUGUACUCCAAUGUGGGCAACAAGAACCAAACUCCGUUUCCCCCAAGCCCCCCGGCC